rnacentral:tRNA from 1 species
GGGGGUUUAGCUCAGCGGUGUAAGCACCUGCCUUGCAAGCAGGCAGUCGUGAGUUAAAAUCCCUG